AUUGAACGCUGGCGGCAGGCCUAACACAUGCAAGUCGAGCGAGCGGCGGACGGGUGCGUAAUGUCUGGGAAACUGCCUGAUGGAGGGGGAUAACUAAUGGAAACGGUAGCUAAUACCGCAUACCAUCAAAUGUGCCCAGAUGGGAGUAGCUAGUAGGUGGGGUAACGGCUCACCUAGGCGACGAGCCCUAGCUGGUCUGAGAGGAUGGCCAGCCACACUGAAACUUAGACACGUCCCAGAUUCCUACGGGAUGCAGCAUUGGGGAAUAUUGCACAAUGGGCGCAAGCCUGAUGCAGCCAUGCCGCGUGUGUGAAGAAGGCCUGCGGGUUGUAAAGCACUUUCAGCGGUGAGGCGUUACCCGCAGAAGAAGCACCGGCUAACUCCGUGCCAGCCGCCGCGGUAAUUC
rnacentral:rRNA from 1 species